rnacentral:tRNA from 1 species
GGAGGAAUGUCCGAGAGGUCGAAGGUGACAGCCUCGAAAACUGUUGUGGGGGAGACUCCACCAAGGGUUCGAAUCCCUUUUUCUCCG